UUAAAACCACCAUGGUUUUCUAUAAUCAGUAUAUGCAUCUUUCCCAAAUUUUAACCAUUUUAAGCAAGUUUUCCUCUUUCUCCUCUACUCCCUUACCUCCCUAAAAGUCUGCUCUGCACUUUCUGUCUCUAGUCUCCCACUUACUUGAAUGUUCUUAAAUUGUUAACUAUACACUAAUUGUAUAAGUGGUAUUUGUAUACAAGUAUAUACAACAUAUUUCAAGUAUAAUUGUGUUCCUUACUAUAUACAUAACAAUAUAGAUUAAUUACACAUUAAUACAUAAAAUUUAUAUACAGUACAGUGCUUUAUACACCAUAAUUUAUAUAAUAUGUACAUGACAGUUUAAAAAUGAAUACUUAUUCCCCCCCAGAUCAUACAGAAUACACCUUCUUGUCCUCACCCAGUCCCUAAGGACACUUACUGUUACCAUUCAUUCACCAAACAGAUCAGGCUACUGUGUAGCUUUCUGCUCUUUUUUCUAGGAAGCACGCAUUAGAAAUUUAAUAAUGUUCAUUAAGUGGGGUUUCAAAAAAAUUAAACUGGUAUACUGUUC
rnacentral:lncRNA from 1 species